rnacentral:tRNA from 1 species
ACUUUUAAAGGAUAACAGCAAUCCAUUGGUCUUAGGAACCAAAAACUUUGGUGCACUCCAAAUAAAAGUAA